GAACCAUCUAGUAGCUGGU
rnacentral:snRNA from 1 species